UCAAGGAAUUGAAUCGGGCAAUGUCAGAAAAUGAAAACUUAUGUAGCCAUUCUCUUUGGAGCAUGAUCAUUUAAAUAGCAUGUAAAUCUAUUUUUUCCCUGCUGUUUGUAAUAUCAGUAACAUCCUCAGAAGGUGGUACUGAGAGUAGAUCUGAAAUUAGGAAUGUAUAUUGCAUAGGGAAUAUCAUUAACUAUUUGCUAUUUAUCCCAAUCUCGUGGAAAAAAACCUGAACACAGUUAAUACUGACAAACUUGUAGGUAAGAGUUCAAAUCAAAUCCUGAGAGCAACUACUGGACUUUGAAUGAUUUGGAGCAGAGCUUGGAGCAGUAUUUCAUACUCACUUCUUAUAGCCAUAGUGGAUCAAAUCAGAAGUCUGUUUCAUAUUUUCUUUGAAUUAUGUGAGUUCGAAAUCCUGAUCAUAACGUUGCUACUCAGUGGAUAUGUAUUCAUUGGCAUUAGCAUUUCUGAAUGGAUUAACUCAGCCAUUGUGAAAAACAGAUUCUGCAGUUUACUUAAAGAUAAGCAUGAGCAGCGUCAGGUCAAACAUUUUGGAAAUUUCCCAACAGAAAAGGCUCGCUCAUGGAAACUAAAUGUUCUGUAGAAAAGCUGUGAAUUUGAUGAAACUAUUGAAAAGAAGCCAGCAGGCAUUUGACCAAAAUCUUGCUAUUUUUCUGUCAGUUCACCUAUCUUUCUUUCCCCUCCUAGGCAAUAUCAGCCUCCAUGGGCUUGCAGAAGGACUGGGAAAAAGAAAACAACAACAAGAAAUCUCAAGGACAAACUGGCACCUGAGGAAAGAUGCACGUGAACCAGCCACCUGAUAGGAUGGAGAUCCUCUGCGCCUUCUGGGGAGAUUAAACAACGUCUGAGCUCCAGACUCCAAGAUACUCAAGCAGCCUGUGGAAAAUGAAAACCAGAGCAAUACUUGUUUCCUAGGAAAAAAUGAACAAAUUAAAAUGAGUGGGGAGGACAGACCCACCUCAGUUUUAGAGUGGAAAGAAAUCCUCAGGAAGCUCUGCUGUGCUCCAUCCCUGACAAAGGCUCUUUAUACUCAACAAGCCUCAGCUACUGGGCAGGAGAUGUUUAUUGUAAUGAAAGACUCUUCAGAAAGUUUGGAACACAAAGAUUUUAUCUUUGUCAGGGGAACACCUAGUGGUUAGUUAACCUUUGAAUAGGACUUCUAAGACAAUGACAACUGCAGGAUUUGGUGCUGUACGUGGUCUGGAUUUUAUUACAUGAAACACAAGGCAACAUACAAAAUAAACCUCUAAAGUUCUGACAUGGAGAGAUUUUGCUUGUCCUUUCCAAAAGAAAGUUGCCUGAAUUUCCUUCACCCUCAUGGCCAGCCACACAUACCUUCUCCUAGCUGAGCUUGGAUACCCUUUGCAGCUGCUCCCAUACUGUCUCAGUUCUUCCAUGCUCACUGUCUGAGAAAGGCAAAAAAGGAGUUUUCAGAAAAAAAAAAAGGUUUACUCCACAGGUGCAGAGAACCAUGAACUGGCUUAACCCUGGCAGCAGUGCAGAGAUAGCCCUGGUGACCCACAUGCAUUAGCACCAGCACCAGGAGCAGGAGUGCUGCUUCACCACGGUGCUGAACUGACCUCCAAUAUCCCUGCCUUUCUGCACUGUGCAUGACUUCACAGUGAGCUGGUUAAUGUUAGGAUGGGAAUCUUUGCAACACAGUUGGCAUAGAUCAGACAGUAAGCGCUGAGGUUACUUUGGCCCCUCUGAAAGUCUUUAAGUGACCGGAGUGCUUGUGUCUUCUGUGCCCUCAGCAGAGAAGCUGUUACCUCCAGCUGCAUUUUCACUGUGUGGGAAUUGUUUGAACUCACCACUGUUGCCACAGCUGCUAAAGGAAAACAUGUAGUUAAAGAUGAGGCUGUGCAUACAUUAUAGAUAUAGGCAUAUGGCUGUCAAGCUGCUGCCCAACAACUUCCAUAGUUAUAUGGCACCUUAUGUUAUCCAAAGCACUUGAAAUUUUUUAGAUAACAAAAGCAAACCAAGACAGCUAUUAUGGCUUUGUGCUGCACUUGCUUCCUGAUAGAGUUGCCAAUCCAGUACUUUGAAUUCUGUGCCAGCAGCUUUGACACAAGUGAAAGAGCAAGCUGUGCUUUUAACAGAUGCAAAUGCUUUAGUUGCAGUGAUCAUUGCUUUCUCAAAAUCAUUAUCACAUAUGUGGGAUUUCAUAUUCAUACUUUUUCAAAGCAGCAACGUUCAGAUGAUUAGAGCAACAUUUUCUUAGCACCAGUAGAUUUUUAAGGAGCAUAAGCAACUGACAUUAUCUUGACUCAAGCAAGCAUUUUACUAUCCCACCAGUGCUUCUGCUGAACAGACAAACAACACAUGGUUGGCACUGUUGGAAAUCUUGCAUAGUGCCACCACUGUGCCAUACCAGCAAUGAGCCAUACUGAUGGAUUUCUAGGAAUCUGCAGUCUUCUCUGAUUACAGGGGAAUAAGGACAAACAAAACAGUGUUAAGCCAGCAUUAAGUUACUGGCUUAGAUAUUCUCGAUUUGAGAAUAGCUCAUCACCUUUCUCUAUUUUUCCGUAUCUCUUUGUGUCAAGGGUACAGCUUCUGAAAAAGCGUGAAGUUUCUUGCUUUGUUUGAACAAGGUUACCACAAAAGUACAAGAAUUUGAUACCAUCAACUUAGUUCUUUUAAUGGCAAUUUCAGCAGCAGCAAACACAUGGAAAAGUCAUUAUGUCUGUGAAAGCAACAAAUACAAUCCAGAGAUACUGUUGUGCAUAAGACUCCCUUCCACCAGAAGACCAAGUCUGUUUUUUUUUUCUGCCAUUAAACACAUACAAUGUUAAUUCUAAGCCCCUGUUUUGUACAGGCAGGAUCUGGCAAAUUUUGGCACCAUAUACUAUUCAUCAAAGAAAGAAACAGUCCAGACCUUGUAAAGCCUUGACUCUGAAAGUGUGUGUGCUCAGAUUUAAGUAGUAUAUGAUGUGAAGCCCAGUGCAAGAGAAGGUUACUCUGAAGAACCAUAGAGGUUUUGCUCUGAGUCUUCUAUGGAAUGGGAGCAGAUCUCAGUGUAAUUUCUUGAUCAUGCACAUCCAUGAUUAAAACAAAGCACAGAUGCUUAAAACAAAAGACUGGGAAUGAGAAAAAAAUCAUUUUUCUAUCCUAAUUUUGAAGCUUUUCUUAAAAUGAAGAAAAAAAAAAAACCUCAACAGAUCUGCAUAUGUUAUAUAUAAAAACAACAACGAAAAACCCAAACAAGUUGCCUUAAUUUUUAACUCUUCUUCAGUAUUCCUCCUUCCCACAAACUUUGCCAUCCGCACUGCAGUAAUUGCAAUGUGACAGUCAGCAAAGAUUCUCCAAAACAUCCUUUUUGGUAGGAAAAGAAAAAGAGAGUUCAGGAAAAUUGUGCUCUACUGUUGAAGAAAAUUCAUAUCAUAGAAUACAAAGACUGUCUUGGGCAGAGGCUUUGGUCACUGUCUGAUGCAGGUAGCUGGCUGAGUGGCUGUGCUCUCAGCAGCUUGCUCCCCUUCUCUUUUCCUCUUUUUUCCUCCCUCUUCAUUUCCAUAUCUCCACAAAUGUUAUUUUUUCACAUUCACAUCACCAUCUCCAAAUGCAUUUGCACAGAGACACAUAAGGAUAUAAAAUAGUGUCCCCAUAAUUUAUUUCUAUCUGAUCAGGGCACUGUCAAUUCCUUGGAGAUUGUUCUGGCACAAGUCUCAAGCAAAACAAAGAAGCAGUUCCCUCUUCUUACAUUUUUCUUUUGUUAAAAAUGUUAUAAAAUGUAGACUGCACAUACCAGGUGCAAAAUACCUUUGAAAGAAGUGGAGGGUUUGUCCCUAGAAAAAAGACAUUUUUGGAGGGCAUAAAUUGUCCCUGAACCAAAUGUUUUUAUGCCAUCCACAGUAGCUGGACUUGAUGACCUUAGUAGGUCCCUUCCAUCCGGACUAUUCUAUUUUAGAAAGCAGAUGUUGGUCUUUAUAGGGUUUCCUUGUCCAGCUUAAUCACCAGACAAAUUAAUGGCUUUUCUAUCAUUUUCUUAUUGCAGAGCCCAGUGAAUAAUCUGGUAUGAAAACUGAUAGCAGUAGCACAUGGUGUCUGCUAGUACAUAUGAACUGUGUCAUUGUGGACCAUAGCUUCAUCUCUCCCUAGCUGCACCUUGUGUCACCUCAAUAUCAUGCAGGGCCUCUCAGAGGAGAUGACAGCAUGCCAGAUGAAAGUGUUGGGCAGGAUGCUGGCUCAGGAGCCCCCACACUUAUUCUUCAGCCUGCAGAGUUCACCUAUGGGUGCACAGUAGCCAGAACAGGCUCACAUUUUAAGCCAUACAGAGCCUGAAACAAGCUUGUAAUCGGGGCAUUCACAUUUAACUUAAGGUGAACUCAUCCUAUCACAUCUCUGCUGAUCCAAAAAUAAAGACUUUAACUUACAGGCACUAUUUUCAAUUAAUGUAGUUUUUCCUUGAUAAAUGCAGUGAGAUGCAGGAAGGAUCUGUUUGCAGUUUUAAUUACACUCAGUGUACACACAUAUAUCUACCUCUGGUGAUUCCAGAAGCACUCAUUAUUUGUUCAUUAUUCUAAUGACACAACCACACAUAGGUUACUUUAAAAUAAGGUAAGAUUUUGAGUGUCCAAGACACUUGGACACCUUAGAUACUCAGAAUGUCUCUUAUCCCCUACUAGGUGCUUUUCACCUGGGGCUCCUGCAGAUUGUGUACACAAACCUACUCCCAGAAUAUCCAUCUAUAAGCCAAGAAAACAAACCAACUUCUGAUCCUCUAAAACAUUCAAUAUGUAUUGCAACACUGAGGUAUCUGGCUGACAAAAACCAUUAGGUAAGGCUUUCAAGCUCCAGAGGAUAAAGUCUGCUACUAGAUUAUUUCUAUCAUGAUUAGACCAACAUCUGGCUUUCAGCUUCUCUCAUGACAGCACUGUGGUUGGGGCGCUACUUUAACUUGCAUUUUCAUAAGCUACACUGUUCAGUGAUUUAUAUCAAUCUGCUUUUAAUCACAUUGUGCCAAAAUUAACCAACUGUAAUUGCCACCCAGGGCAGGCCGUCUUCUGAAAAGGAAAUAAAUGAAAUUAGUUAUCAGGGCAGGAAGCAGCUGCCUGGCUAUGAAGUGGAAGAGCAAUCUGUGCACUAGUUUAGACUCACCCCCAUCAUGCAAGUGAAGGAGCAUGGCAGUAAUGGGGAGAAAACAAAACGGAAGAGUCCAGGAUGUCAUCUUUCUCCACUCCUCCUCUCAAUUUUUAUUCUGUGCAUUUUCAGUGGCAAAGAAAUGAAAACAUCUUUAUUUUUGUUUAAAUUCUCAGAAACUCUAUUUACAAUUCAAAAAUGUAACUUCAAAUCUGAAACAAAGUACUUCCUCUCUCUUUCUCCCAUAAUUUCAGUUUGUCAGCAAAAAUACACCCAUAAACCCAUCAUGUUCACAUAUGUGCAUACAGCAUCCAAACCACACUGUGCUCUGCAAUGUGGUGAGAGCUUUUGCAUAGCUGAAGAGGGAAAAGAAAUGGGAUCUGAAAGGUGGGAAACCUUCGGAGCAUGUCAUUUCCCUUUCUGUACUUCAGAUCUCAAACAGACUGAAGCCAGAGAGCAAGUUUCUAGCAGCUUCAGUAAGCUUUGGAACAGGCUCUACUGAUGGAGCUAGAAGCAGAUAUUAAGUUACAUCAGCUUCAUAAUAGCUGCCAAAUUUUUUUUAACUAGGAAAUAUUAGCAAACGUGAUAACACAGUGAAAUGUGGUGACAAUAGGAAUACUGUUCAUAUCUUGUUCAUUCAAGUUAUGAAACAAAGUAGAAAAUGCUAUUAAAACCAUGUGGUGAUCUUUAAAGUAUCUGGCUUUUCUUAAAGCUACGCUCAUUUUGCAAGAUCAAAGGUAAAGUGAAAUCUUUACAAAUCAUUUUGUUGAUUAGACAAUGGUGAUACAGAUUUUGCAGUAUGCAUGAAGGGGUGAAGGAGCCUGAUUUUCAUUCUGGUGCUGCAGAAAUGGAGGAGAAGGGGAUAGGGGUGCGGAAAAGGAAAGAAGGAGAGCCUUUGUUCCCACCUUAGUUCUUUCCACUGCACAGAUCUGUCACAGAAGUGGACUCUUGGAGAUCUUCCCUGGUGGGGAAGAAGGAGGUUAUCACACAGCUAACUGACUUCAGAGCUGAAAAGAAAACCACCACACAAGACCAGCCCUGAAAUACAACCAGCGUAGCCAGUAAUCAGUAACAGCUUUCUCCUUCAGCUGAAGAUACAAGAAACCCACAGCAUGUUUUCAGUAACAGUUUUGAUGCAUGCCUUGCUAUCAAGCUGCUCAAAGAGAAACCGAGGGCCCAAAACUGCAUGGCUAUAACCCAUGCCUUACAGAGCUAGAUCCUAUAAUCCCACUGAUGUAUCUUCCUUUUUUUGUAUGGUCAAAGGUUUGCCAGAUAAAGUCUGAUUUAUUGUUUAUGCUUCUAUAAUUACCUCAUGGAAGUUAAGCCCUUAGAUCUACCACACACCUCCUCUUGUAACACCACACCUAUUCUUUCCUCUUUCUCUCUUUCUGUCGGCUCACAUCUUUACUUCUCAUGUCUAUAUUCUUUGAUGUUCAAACCACUGUCACAAUUAAUGUGUGCCUGACAAGGGCAGGAAGGCAGGGAAACGAUUCCCACUCACUGUUCUCUCCUCAUUUGCUCCUUUUCUUCUCUGCAUUCAGAAAGCGAGUGAGUGACAGCUAGCCCAGAGUGCUGCUUGUACACAUCUAUUGAGGAAUGGGAACGCUUAGCAGAGUAGUAGAGCAGAUGGAAUGAAGAGCCCCAGACAAACUCACUAUAGCCCGAUAGGGCACCUUCUACCUUCAGGUCAGCCAACAAAAGACACCAGUGAAAAAGGUGUGCCUACAAUCCUCCCUGAGGCUCUUCAAAACACAAGAAUAACAAAAGAGCAGAGGUUGAUACUAAUAUCAUCAUACUAAUGUCUGCUAUCUCGGAAGUAUUCUUUAUGGUCAUUAUUUAAGGGAGCCUUAGAUGUUAUUUUCCAAGUCCAGCAAAUGUAGCUUUGAAGGAGCUUCCUCUUUUGGGUGGGAGGAUAGACUCAGUGAAGUGACAUUUGGCAGAUAAAUGAGAAAGCUGAAGCUCUGCCCAAGUAGAAGUGAAAACUAAUCUCAGAACAAAGAGCAAAUUUUAUUUAGUCCUAAACAAGCUAUGAACAAUCUGCAGAUAGUAUGACCUAAUACUUGCCAAAAAUGUGAUUACUAAUUUUGUAGGCAUGAUGCUGAACCUGGUUUAGAAAAGUAUUCUAUAAACAAAGACAUCAUAGCCAUACUUGGGAAAAAAGCUCUGUUACUGAAGCGCUCAGCACAGCCACGCACCAUCACUGAUGGGCAUACAGGGCAAAUUUUCAAGGACACAGCAUCAGCUCUUCUCUGCUUCCUGGGAACUAGAGGUGCCAUUCCUGCUGACUGACUUCUGAAGUUGAAACAGGCCAAUGUGAAUCAAUUUUUACAAGAUUACACACACACAAAGAGAACUUCUGGCUUUACCCAGCAAGAACUUGAAGUGGGUCACAGUCUGUAACCUGAAAAUUGAGACAUUUUGGAAAACGUAGCAAGACUAUGCAAAAGCAUGUCAUAUAUAUGCUGUCAUAUAUAAAUUGUGUUGUAUAUUUUAGUCUGAAGCAUGAGCAGUGUCCAUAUGAGGGGUGUUCUCAUAAUUUGUCAGCAAAUUCCAGUUAUGGAGGUAUACACCCUCAGGCUGUGGCUGUAUGACUGAGUUGUUUCAGCAUGACAAGUUGCCAAAUCAUAAUAUCUGACUCUCUGUUUCAAGCCGCAGCAGAUAAGAAGUGGUUGCUCCUUAUUUAGUCCAUAGUAAAGGAAAGUAUACACAGAAUUUUCUGACUCAGAAAGCCCAAUGAGCAGUGAAUAUUUGGCAUAUACUUAACAAAUACAUUACGUAAUCUCAGUAAAAUGCCUCUUGAAAUUCAUUUUAAUUGCAAAUUCAUGGGUUGAAGUGCUUAUGCCACAUGAAAAGUGCUUUUUACCACAUGGCACUCAGGACUUUAUUCAUCCUGCAUUGCAUUUAGACACAACUGUAGGCAUAUAUCUGCAGGGGAAAGUGCCUCUGGAUUUAGUUAAUUUGCUACAAUAACACUGCAUUUCAGAGGUAAGUAAUUCAUAUAGUGAAGCCCUUAUUUCACAACACUUUGCUAAUACCUUUCGUUUAGAGUGUUUAAAAUAUCUAUACAAAGUCCUCAUCUUUAUUAUAGUCUGAGUGAUCAUCUGAGGAGCCUCCCUUUGCAUAAGAAAGUGCUGCUUAUUAGGGCAUGCUGAAAAUCUACCGUGGAGUUUGUCAGAGAGGUUUGAGAAUUGGUACAAAUUGGUAUAGAGCACCUGGAUGUAAAUCAACUGCAAGUCCUCCAAGUUCUGGCACAGAGCUUCAGUUGAAUGAAUUUUCUUAGCUGAGA
ensembl:lncRNA